rnacentral:lncRNA from 1 species
GUCCCUUUUUUUCAUGAGAUUUCGGAAGCAAUUGGGAUAUCACAAGAGAGCCUUUGCACAAUUGAAAUCACAUGUUUUGUUACGUUUUGUUUUUCUGUGUUGCUUCUUUUUCUUCUGUUAUGUUUUGUUUUAUUUUGUUUGUUCUCGAAGAUUGAUGGGAUGAUGGCAAAUUUGUGCGACUUUUGUUCAAGUCCUUGUUUGUAUCAUGCAUCAAGAGAGUGGGUUGCAUGGUUAUGCAUUUCAAAAAUAAUCUAUAAGUUAUUUGAAUUGUAUGAGAAAAUGGGGCAAAUGUUUUACUCUGGGAGGUUUCGGAAUUAUGUCAAGUUUUAAAUUUCCGGACGUUGGCAUUUUAUUUAUAUAUAUAUAUAUAUAUAUAUAUAUAUAUAUAUGGUAAAAACUUAGAUAUUAUCAAUGUGGCACAUUCCUUAAAGCCUCUCAAAAGAUU